rnacentral:rRNA from 1 species
GAGUUUGAUCCUGGCUCAGGAUGAACGCUGGCGGCGUGCCUAAUACAUGCAAGUCGAGCGAAUGGAUUAAGAGCUUGCUCUUAUGAAGUUAGCGGCGGACGGGUGAGUAACACGUGGGUAACCUGCCCAUAAGACUGGGAUAACUCCGGGAAACCGGGGCUAAUACCGGAUAACAUUUUGAACCGCAUGGUUCGAAAUUGAAAGGCGGCUUCGGCUGUCACUUAUGGAUGGACCCGCGUCGCAUUAGCUAGUUGGUGAGGUAACGGCUCACCAAGGCAACGAUGCGUAGCCGACCUGAGAGGGUGAUCGGCCACACUGGGACUGAGACACGGCCCAGACUCCUACGGGAGGCAGCAGUAGGGAAUCUUCCGCAAUGGACGAAAGUCUGACGGAGCAACGCCGCGUGAGUGAUGAAGGCUUUCGGGUCGUAAAACUCUGUUGUUAGGGAAGAACAAGUGCUAGUUGAAUAAGCUGGCACCUUGACGGUACCUAACCAGAAAGCCACGGCUAACUACGUGCCAGCAGCCGCGGUAAUACGUAGGUGGCAAGCGUUAUCCGGAAUUAUUGGGCGUAAAGCGCGCGCAGGUGGUUUCUUAAGUCUGAUGUGAAAGCCCACGGCUCAACCGUGGAGGGUCAUUGGAAACUGGGAGACUUUUGAGUGCAGAAGAGGAAAGUGGAAUUCCAUGUGUAGCGGUGAAAUGCGUAGAGAUAUGGAGGAACACCAGUGGCGAAGGCGACUUUCUGGUCUGUAACUGACACUGAGGCGCGAAAGCGUGGGGAGCAAACAGGAUUAGAUACCCUGGUAGUCCACGCCGUAAACGAUGAGUGCUAAGUGUUAGAGGGUUUCCGCCCUUUAGUGCUGAAGUUAACGCAUUAAGCACUCCGCCUGGGGAGUACGGGCCUCAGGGACUUAAGCUUCAAAGGACUUUGACGGCGGUUUCCGCCCAAUCGGUUCGGAGCAUGUGGCUUUCUACUUCCGUAUUACCGCGAAGGGACUGCCUUGACGUAGUGUCGAGCUCCUCUGGCUUUCCCUGGAGUUAGCGGCUUUCCUUCGGAGCAGAGUGCCAGCUUGUGUCAUUGGUUGUCGAAAUUCGGCUCGUGUCGUUUCAGAUCUUAGGUUAGUCCCCGCAACGAAUCGCACUACCCUUGCUCUUAGUUGCCAGUCAUUAAUUUGGUCCACUGCUGAAGGUUGACUGCUGGCUGACGAACUUGAGGAAUGCUGGGCUUGACGUCAAUCCAUCUGUGCAUGCCACCUCUACUGACCUCGGCUAUGCACACGUGCUACAAUGGGACAGGUACACACGAAGCUGCUAUACCGCCGAGGGUUACGGAGUCUAAAUCUCAUAAAACCUGCUUCUGUCCAUUCGCCGGAUUGUAGGCUGCCAACUCGCCGCUCACAUGAGAAUCUGGAAUCGCUCAGUAAAUCGUGAUCAGGCAUGCCCCCAGGUGACUACGUUCCCGGGGCUUGUAGCGGCACCGCCACGUACAACCCACGAGAGGUUUGUAACGACCCGAAGUCGGUGGGUUUAAGCCUUUUUGGAGCCAGCCGCCUAAGGUGGGAACAGAUCGAUUGGGCGGGUGAAGUCGUAACCAAGGGUCCCAGCCGUAAUCAGGAAGGCUGCGGCU